UGGUGCGGUGUUAGAACGUUGAAUGAUCCAGUCCCCAAUUGAUCACUGAAGUUAAGCAACGUUGUGUUUGAUUAUUAUCCGGAUGGGUGACCAUCUAGGCAAUCGUGGGCUGCUGUCU
rnacentral:rRNA from 1 species